rnacentral:rRNA from 1 species
AUUGAACGCUGGCGGCAUGCCUUACACAUGCAAGUCGAACGGUAACAGGUCUUCGGAUGCUGACGAGUGGCGAACGGGUGAGUAAUACAUCGGAACGUGCCUAGUAGUGGGGGAUAACUACUCGAAAGAGUGGCUAAUACCGCAUGAGAUCUACGGAUGAAAGCAGGGGAUCGCAAGACCUUGUGCUACUAGAGCGGCCGAUGGCAGAUUAGGUAGUUGGCGGGAUAAAAGCUUACCAAGCCGACGAUCUGUAGCUGGUCUGAGAGGACGAUCAGCCACACUGGGACUGAGACACGGCCCAGACUCCUACGGGAGGCAGCAGUGGGGAAUUUUGGACGAUGGGCGCAAGCCUGAUCCAGCAAUGCCGCGUGCAGGAUGAAGGCCUUCGGGUUGUAAACUGCUUUUGUACGGAACGAAAAGCCCUGGGUUAAUACCCUGGGGUCAUGACGGUACCGUAAGAAUAAGCACCGGCUAACUACGUGCCAGCAGCCGCAGUAACAC